UUGUCAGGUUUCUAAGCUGGCUCAUUCUAGCAUUCCAGCUUCCCAAAGCCCUUUGAGACUUUCCUCCACAUUUUGCAUAUCUACUUCAUUUGCUAAGUACAUGUCACGUUUUUUCCUAAUCUUCGAGUGCCAUCCCACUGGUGUAUUAAAAUUGUCACUCAGGAUCCUGUAAUAGCCAGAUGUUAAAUCCCUGAUUUAGAUUUUUAUUCUGCCUUCCUUGAUCCAGCACCCCCAGGAUCCACUCCCAGUUCCUGCAAUACAUACUAGCCAGAUUUGACAGCUCUUUUGGAAUAUUUUCUAUAUUCUAGCAAGCCUGGUAUUCCUUCAGUCAGAUUUUGCAGAGUCUUGAUCUGAACUAUGUGUCUGGUGGCCAGACAGAGGUAGGAACAGUUUCUGGAGAGGAUAAGGAUUGCCUUGAAGGUAUGAUUGCCAGAUUUAGCAAAAAAAAGAAAAAAAAAACAACACAGGAUACAAGAGAUUAGGAUACUAAAAAAAUUGCUCAUUGUUUAUCUGAAACUCAAAUUUAACUGCACAUCUUGCACAUUAUCUGGCGACUCUAUUGCCUCAUUUGAGGUUUCUUUAUAUCCUUUCAGCAACGGAAGUUCUCUCUUCCAACCAGAGAGAGUUGGUCACUUCUUAGGUAGGCCCUGAGGUUUCAGACAAUUGAAAUCUCUCAUUAAAUCCUCAGGCUGAUCUUAAGCUGUGCCUCCCCUCCAGCUGCAGGAUAUGAGGGUCUUUUUACAUGCUGUCGAGGAAAUACUCUGACCCUUUCACUGCUUGAAGUUGUUGAUUAAUACAGCUGAGCCUGUGAUAUUCUCUCUGCAAAGAAUCAAUAGUGAUUACCAACAACCAUCUGAUUCCACUGCCCUUUCCUUAUAGUAACUGUUGCUCCCAUACCCCUCAAUAGCCUGACACAGUAGUACCUGAAUUUUUCAGCACAUUAGAAUUUUCUGGGAGCUUCUAAAAAUACUGGUGUCUGUGUUCUACCCCAAGAAAUUGCAAUGUGGUCAGUCUUAGGUGUGAUCUUCGUUAGGAAUUUUUAAGAGAUUGCCAGGUGACUUUAAUGCUAGGACAUUGCGCCAGUUACUACAUCCUCUUGCACCUGUAUCCCUUUAUAGCUCACUACAGGUAAGUCUUAGUGAUCUACUACCACCAGCAUUCAGGCAAUCUCAAAAUCUAUUCCUAAUUUUUAUCCAGCGGGUGAGUAAUCCAACUACAAAAAUCUUACCCUUAGUGG
rnacentral:lncRNA from 1 species